AUCCAAAUGACUAGUUCGAAAUAGGACGAAACGUGCGUUCUAGAU
rnacentral:hammerhead_ribozyme from 1 species